UGGGGAAUAUUGGACAAUGGGCGAAAGCCUGAUCCAGCCAUGCCGCGUGUGUGAAGAAGGUCUUCGGAUUGUAAAGCACUUUAAGUUGGGAGGAAGGGCAGUAAGUUAAUACCUUGCUGUUUUGACGUUACCGACAGAAUAAGCACCGGCUAAUUCUGUGUCAG
rnacentral:rRNA from 1 species